GAAAAAAAUUAUAUUGUUUUCUCACGACUUUAUGCGCUCAUUAUGUAGAAACUGUAGCAGAAUUAAACGAUUAACACUAUUUACCCGCUACCUUUUAGCUAUCCCAUGAGGCAGCGCGCACGAAUAUAAAUUACACUCGCACACGCCAUUCUGUCUCAUUUUGUCCUGGUUGUUCGUUGGGAAAGGUGUGUGGCGAUAUACCGUCCAGAUAAUUUUGAAAAAUGGUUAAUGUGACUACAGAGAAGGGACAGGGUGUCAGAGUUAAAACCGACCUUAAUGAUGGGUGAGCACUAUACAAGGGUUGUACCUUGUUGGCCAGACAGCCCGUGUGAGUAUGGCUGGUUUAAAGGUUGUCCUCUGGAAUUUCCACUUGUCAGGGAAUGGAUUACCUUAAGCACAGGGCUGCUGUAUUGAUGUGGCUGCUAUAAAAAGGGAGAACAGUUGAAAUGGCAAACUAUGAUGUGAAGUUGAAGUCAAGUGAACACUUGUCAAGGUGUUGAACUCUUCCUGAUGUCCUUGGCCAGGGUUUGACUGACUGCUCAUCUGGUGGCCUUGUGGUCGUCUGCCGCUUAGCACGGUCCUUUUGAAAUGGAAUCUCUGCCAGUGAAGUGCCACCUCAACACAGGCACUACAUGACCACCCUGGCACUGCACCGCUGGCUACUUUUAGCUGGGUGGGUUUUGCCCCCAACCCUGAUGGAGUGAUUUUGUAAUUCUAAAUAAAACUGCCCGGGUGCUUUGCACAACACUGAA